UGACAAAUUCCUCAGAACCCUUCCCCAGGUUGAUCUCUCACUUCUAAGGGGGAAGACCUCAUUCAGAUCCAUGCAGACGCCACCUGGUGGGCAAUGAACCAACCCCAACAGACACUUGCACCCACAGCCACUAGGUGGCAGGGCACAACUGUGACUCCACAGAGCCACCAGGGUCACACCUAACCACUGCUGUGUGCAGCAGGGAGGUGGACCCAGGAGCAACUCCUUUAUUCCAGGACUCAUCCCCCUGUCAGCUCUGUUCCCAGCAGGGGACAGCAAAGCCACAGGUGGGUUCUGGCCUGGAGUGGGGAGCCAUGGGUUUGGGCAUUGGUGAGGCAAGUGACCUUCGCAUCCACAUUUGAAGCAAGCCCCUGACGGAGAGGAAUGCUGGGUCCCCCGUGAAGCUUUCUCUGGAGCCGUGGGCCUCAGGGCCACUACCAAGGCCUGGGUUUGAAGUGUUCCCUUUUUCUGCAAUCGAGCCUGCCUGGCUAGUUCAGCCAAUUCCUCCUGGGCAUUAUAGACUUUAAAGGCCAUUUUCACCAGAUCUCAGAUAGGGGUCUGAGGGCCCUCUUCAGCUCAUUUGAGUUUUUUCUAAUAUCAUGGGCUGACUGAGUAAUGAAAUGGGUUGCUAACACUGUAGCCCUGGAGGGAGACCCAGGAUCCAGCUGAGGGCCUCUGUCAGGCUGUGGAUAAAUAAGGCUGGAUUCUCAUCUGGA